GCAGUAGCUCAGUGGCAGAGUGCCUGCUUAGCAUGUGUGAAGCACUGGGUUCAAUCCUCAGCACUGCA
rnacentral:tRNA from 1 species